UCUCGCUCCUGGGACUAGAUAAAAAAAACAAACAUUUAACGGACCUUGAUCACGAACAAACCUUUACAAUGAGUUAUUGACUCUUUUAGUCACAAUUCACCGAACUCCAUGAACGAAAUAUAUGCAAAUUAACGUUCUUUAAUUUUUUUGAAUUUCCUUUUUGACUGUUGGAGUUGGUUGGGGAAAUGUGUGUCGGUUGUUUUUACUUCAUGUAACGUGGAUGUUACCUGUGUCCGUGGCUGUGGCUGGAGGAUGAGCGCCGGCGUGGGGGUGACAGGGGACGCGACAGGAACUCAUAAUAUGCAGUCAAGCCUGUAGGGUAGACCAGGCUGGGCCCCCUGAUGAGUUGAGUCCCCCUCCCCCACCCCUCCUCUCCCAGCGUAGCCAGGUGGGAUGUUCCAGAUGUGUGUCCUCUUAUCUCUGCUCACCCUCUCUGGCUACACCCAGGUCUCCUCAGCUAAAUCUCUGAAGCUCCUGAUGGAACAAUGGACGAGCUACAAGAGCCAGUGUUCUCAGAGCAUCGUCGCCACGCCUCC